AAUCUGGCCCUGGAAAACCCUGG
rnacentral:piRNA from 1 species